rnacentral:rRNA from 1 species
UACGGAGGGUGCAAGCGUUAUCCGGAUUUACUGGGUUUAAAGGGUGCGCAGGCGGAUAUGUAAGUCAGUGGUGAAAAUCUCUAGGCUUAACCUGGAAAUUGCCGUUGAUACUAUAUAUCUUGAAUGCUGUGGAGGUAAGCGGAAUAUGUCAUGUAGCGGUGAAAAUGCUUAGAUAUGACAUAGAACACCUAUUGCGAAGGCAGCUUACUACGCAGAUAUUGACGCUCAUGCACGAAAGCGUGGGGAUCAAACAGGA